CAGUAGCCGCGGGAAUACGAAGGGGGCUAGCGUUGUUCGGAAUUACUGGGCGUAAAGCGCACGUAGGCGGAUAUUUAAGUCAGGGGUGAAAUCCCGCAGCUCAACUGCGGAACUGCCUUUGAUACUGGGUAUCUUGAGUAUGGAAGAGGUUAGUGGAAUUGCGAGUGUAGAGGUGAAAUUCGUAGAUAUUCGCAGGAACACCAGUGGCGAAGGCGGCUAACUGGUCCAUAACUGACGCUGAGGUGCGAAAGCGUGGGGAGCAAACAGGAUUAGAGACCCCUGUAGUCCCUGUCUCUUAUAC
rnacentral:rRNA from 1 species